rnacentral:rRNA from 1 species
CCUACGGGAGGCAGCAGUGGGGAAUUUUCCGCAAUGGGCGAAAGCCUGACGGAGCAAUGCCGCGUGGAGGUAGAAGGCCCACGGGUCGUGAACUUCUUUUCCCGGAGAAAAAGCAAUGACGGUAACCGGAGAAGAAGCCCCGGCUAACUUCGUGCCAGCAGCCGCGGUAAUACGAAGGGGGCUAGCGUUGUUCGGAAUUACUGGGCGUAAAGCGCGCGUAGGCGGAUAGAUAAGUCAGAGGUGAAAUCCCGGGGCUCAACCCCGGAAUUGCCUUUGAUACUGUUUAUCUUGAGUGCAGAAGAGGUAAGUGGAAUUCCGAGUGUAGAGGUGAAAUUCGUAGAUAUUCGGAGGAACACCAGUGGCGAAGGCGGCUUACUGGUCUGCAACUGACGCUGAGGCGCGAAAGCGUGGGGAGCAAACAGGAUUAGAUACCCCGGUAGUC